GACGAACGCUGGCGGCGUGCCUAACACAUGCAAGUCGAGCGGAGACAGUGAGUAGCUUGCUAUGAGCUGUUUUAGCGGCGGACGGGUGAGUAACGCGUGAGCAACCUUUCCCAGACAGGGGAAUAACACACCGAAAGGUGUACUAAUACCGCAUAAGACCACGGGAUCACAUGGUUCUGGGGUAAAAGAAUUAUCGGUUUGGGGUGGGCUCGCGUCCGAUUAGGUAGUUGGUGAGGUAACGGCCCACCAAGCCGACGAUCGGUAGCCGACCUGAGAGGGUGAUCGGCCACAUUGGGACUGAGACACGGCCCAAACUCCUACGGGAGGCAGCAGUGGGGAAUAUUGGGCAAUGGGGGGAACCCUGACCCAGCAACGCCGCGUGGAGGAAGAAGGUUUUCGGAUCGUAAACUCCUGUCCUUGGAGACGAGUAGAAGACGGUAUC
rnacentral:rRNA from 1 species